ACCUGGCCCGCGCUCACCUUGAGGCCGCGGAUCUCGCCGAGGUGCAGCUGCAGGCGGCGGUUCACCUCGCGGAUGAGGUUGCUGUGGUCCAGCAUCGCGCUCACCUUCUCCGCCUCGGCGCGCCGCAGGCUGCGGAUCAGCUCCUCCUUGCUCCACUGCAGCAGCUCCUCGUCCGACACUUUGGACAGGUCCUCCACCGGCGCGGGCGGGGCCGCGGACGAGCCGGCCGGGGCUGGGGAACAACUUUCCGCCGCCGCCGCAGCCGCCGCCGCGCCUCCGGCCGCCUUCGACAUGGUAUCCGCGGGGUGGCAGGUGCAAGUGGGUGGAAGAGGCGAGGCGACUCCCGAAGGCGCGGGCGCGGCGAGGCCGCCUCCGCCCACACCCCUGUGCGCUCCGGCGAGUCAGCGGCACCGCCCAGGGGCCGCUGGGUUGGGGCGGCGGGGGUCGCGCUGGGUGGCCAUCCUACCUCGCCAUCCCCGCGCGCGCGCCCGCGCUCCCCCAGGGCCCGGCAGCCAGCCGCUUGCUGCUGCCGAGGCCCGUCCCAACUCCGCGCAAGUCCAUGGUGAGGGGCACUGGGGAGCCCGGGGCUGCCGCGGGAAAUCCUCGGGGACAGCGGGGGAGCUGCACCGCCGUUCCCCUGCCCUCUCCUCCGCCCUAAGCCGAGACUGUCGCCCCCCGCACUCUCUGCCCUGCACACAGGCGUGCACGCACACGCACUUUCCUCCCCCUUGCCCAGCUGCAGCCCCCGGCUUCUCCCCUCUCCUAGCUUGGAGGGCGCGCCGGGCACCGCGGCGCCUCCCCGGCUGCUCUAGCGACGCCGCCGCGGCUGCCCGAAGGCUGCUGCGCUCCUCCUGCCGCCUUCGCUGCGCCCGCGGCCGCUCCUAGGCUGCUCCGGAAAGCCUUCGAUUUGCAGAGCGGAGUCGAGAAGGGGUGGAGGGUGGGGGACCGGCUGGAGGAGGAGCCUGGAGCUGGGGCCACCCGUAACCCGCAGCAGCUCCCGCAUGGGCUGGACGCAGCUGCCACUCGACCGCUGCCCGGGCCCUCGAGGUGCGCUCCCGGCUGUCCUGCCCGGGAGGGCUGGGGGCGCGGCUCUUUCUGCGCCCGGGCGGGUGGGGCUGGAAUGGGGAGAAGGUGAGGAGCUGUGGCCGCCCGGUCUUUGGGAGGCUCGCGCGCGCCACCGUGUGGCGGAAGAAGCUCCCUCCUCUGCCCUCUGCACACCGGCCUUGUCACCAGGCAGGGGAAACAGCUGCUGACCCAAAUGCGAGGUGCUUCGUAUUUGGAGGGAUCGGGGAUCAGGAAAGAUGGGGUAGCAGGACCUGAGGGAUAACCAGUUAUUUGCACUUUGGAGAAUGGGAGGAGAGGCAAAUGGCAAAAACGGGGGUUGGGGAAAGGGGCAGCUUAAGAAAAUCCAAAUGGUCUGAAAAGGGCGAAAAGAGGCGUCAGGGCACUGCUCUUAUGGGGCUACCCAUCCCCACCCCCCACUCUCGCCCCACCCCUAGGCCUUUGUGUUUUCUAAAAAUCCACUACUCUAUGAAGAAGCUUCGGGAGAAGGUACUGGAUCUUUUAAAUUUUUAUUUGAAAAAUAUCAAAGCCUUUAGGCGAAAAUAAAAUACCUUCAUCUCCUGCUUCCUGAAACCUGGAUUUUAAGGUCAGCACAGUCACCUCCCCUCGGAGCAAAGCAAGCCCCCUCAGGCAAGCUGAAAUGCCAGCCAAGGAGAUUUCCAUUUUCUUCUAUGCCGCAGGCUGCCAGGCGUUUACUGGGUCGGCUUUUUUAUGAUGGUUAUUUCUGGAAGGAGGAAGUCUGAGUCCCUGGCUUCUAUCUUUGGGCUAUCCUCUUGUAAAGUUGGGUGGAAUCGUCUCUGGGCUGAAAACAUGCUUUUGCCUAAAGAGGUGGAUGCCCUUGACCACCGCAUGUUAUUUCCAGUGGGGUACAGGGCCGGAAAAUGGCAAGGAUCUACCCCCACCGGGUUUCAGUUAACCCGGGUGCAGAGGGAAUAAUCUCUAUCUGGUAGGAUGAUAAUCAAAAUCAGUCCCUUCACCCGCCGGUCAGUGCGUGUCCCCUAUUGGGGACACUGAGACCUGGCUCCCGGGAGAGGCAAGGAAAUGUGGUACUGCUUACGGUGACCAAAUGGCCUUAACAUUCCCCUCAGCUUAACUAAACUUUAGACAGGUUUCUUCCUAACUGUAGGCCCCAGACCUUCCUUUUCUCAGAGCAUUUACUUUAGCCAACUUCCAUUGGUGAAUGUUUCCUCUGACCCUUUGACAUGUAAAUCUCUCCGCCUCUUGCUGGGUUUUACAGCCUGGGGAUCUUUCUCAGGGAUCUGUGAGGCAUCCCUUUGAAAUGUAAUCAUCAAGGAAAAAAGGGUCCCUAUCUCCUAGUGUUUGUGGAGAGGAGGAGCCUAACUUUAAUAAGUUCCAAUUAGGAAACACAAAUGGCCUCAUUACACUGACCAACUUCCCAUCCUAAUCUCCUCCACUAGUCUUCUACUAGUUCCCCUCUCCCUCCCUCUCUCUCUUCCCUAUUGCAAUAGCCUUGAAUAAUUCCCCCUUGUCUGUUUAACUAUAUCGGAUGCAAUUUUUCUUUGACACCUCCAAGCCGCUCUCACGCCCACAGAAGGCUCUGCUCAACACAGUUCCUAAGACCAGUUUUGUCACAGAAAGGGAAAGUGAAGGUCAGAAAAAGAUAAGUCCUAUCUCUGUUACUUGUUAGUUCUUGUCCUUGAACAAACCAUCCGACCUUACUGGCCCUCGGGCAGCUAAUGAUAUGGUAUACAAGAAGCGCUUGAUCGAGCCACCCUACAGAAAUGCAACCUUACUAUUACUGAUAUUACAUAUUACAUUGGGCAGCCUCUUGUCUAGAAAUAGGAACCAGGACUUCUGUUUAUUCCUCCAUCACGGGUUCUUCAAGAGUCGUAUUCUAAAAUGAAACAGCCAGCCCCCUUCUCUGCUAACUCCCUCUGAUCAGUUAACACCAAAUAGAUAUGAGAAAUCAGAGAGAUGGCUGAGAGGAAAAAUUAGACUUGUGUUGGGAAGACAAGGAAGAAGGAAAGCCAAAAAAAAAAAAAAAGUCUCCACAAAUUAUAUACACUAGCAGUGGAUUACAGUUGAGCUAGAUCACCUUAAGGUUUUCAUGUUUCUAAUUUUGGUCAUUGAUUCAGAAUAAUAAUUAUCUGCAUGAAUGAAUAAUGUUGCUUCAUGUUGCUAAGGUCAUGUAUGGUGUCAGGAGCUUCAUUUGACUGCUAAAAACAGAAACUCAAAAAACAGUCACUUUAAAAAAGUCAUUUAUUUUUUCUCACCUACCUGGUAUUCUAAAGAGAGGCAGCUGAGGGCUGGUAUGGUAUCUUCAUGAGGUCGUCAAAAUCUUAGGCUCCUUCUCUCAGCUCAGUCCCCUUUGGGAUGAUUGCCUCGUGUCCAUAACAUGGUUGGUGGAACUCUAGCCAUCCAGCUACGUGUAAGGCAGGAAGAAGGUAAUAACAACUGCAAAGGGGCACAUGCCCCUUUAAAAACUUUUCCUGGUGGCCGGGGGCGGUGGCUCAUAACUGUAAUCCCAGCACUUUGGGCGUCCGAUGCAGGUGGAUCAUUUGAGGUCAGGAAUUCAAGACCAGCCUGGCCAAUAUGGUGAAACCCCAUCUUUACUAAAAAUACAAAAAUUAGCUGGGCAUGGUGGUGCGUGCCUAUAAUCCCAGCUAUCGGGAGGCUGAGGCAGGAGAAUCGCUUGAGCCUGGGACGCGGAGGUUGUGGUGAGCCAGGAUCGUGCCACUGCACUCCACUCUGGUCGAAAGAGUGAGACCCUGUCUCAAAAAAAAAAAAAAAAAUCCUGGUAAUUGACCCAGUGAAUUUUGUUUAUGUUCUAAUAGGCAGAGCUUACCAUAUAAUCACCUCCCAGCUGCAAGGGAAGCUAGGACAGUGUUUUAAGUUGGGUAUAUUAAAUGGAGAUUUCUGAAAACCAGCCAUAAAUGACCCUACGUCUUUAGUCCUGAUGGUUUUAUAUCAUAUAAUUUUCUUCAGUCAACUCUAUUUCCCCCCAGCUCACUGUUACUCAGCCUAGGUUCUCACUAAGUCUCACCUGGCCCUUCUCACUGGUCCCUCUGACUACUGCAUCACCUCUCUCGAAUCUGCUUUCCACACAACUUCCCAAGUGAAUCAUCUCAAAAAGUCAAGUCUAGCUACUUUACCCCUGAGACAGAUUGAAUUAUUGCUGAUAAUUUUUCACAACCUCCCUACAAAAUUAAUUAACAUCGGCCAGGUGUGGUGGCUCACGCCUGUAAUCCCAGCUCUUUGGGAGGCCAAGGCGGGUGGAUCACGAGAUCAGGAGAUCUAGACCACCCUGGAUAACACGGUGAAACCCCGUCUCUACUAAAAAUACAAAAUAUUAGCCGGGCGUGGUGUCGGGUACCUGUAGUCCCAGCUACUCGGGAGGCUGAGGUGGGAGAAUGGCGUGAACCCAGGAGGCGGAGCUUGCAGUGAGCCAAGAUAGCACCACUGCACUCCAGCCUGACGGCAUAGCGAGACUCUGUCUCAAAAAAAAAAAAAAAAAAAAAUUAACAUCACCUUCCACCAUGUGAUGUUGUAGCACCUCCCCUACAGGGGGCAGUUUUUCUCCCCUCCCUACUGGUAUUGAAAAUCAUAUUGCAAGCAUAUGACUUGCUGUACUAACGCAUGUGUGUGCACCUGACAGUGUACCCCUUCUCUGAAGAGGUCUCAAAAGGCGUCUGUCUGCCCACUCACCCGUCUGUUCUUUCCACGCUUCACCAGGAGAAGAGCUAACCUUGGGUAGCUGCUGUUCCUUCAGUCUGAGCCACACACUCAGCCACCCCAGCCAACCUGAAGAUCUGCAGCAUGAAGCAGAGCUAUGCUCACAGACUCACAGAUCUGUGUGUGAGAAAACAAGACUGUUGUUUAAGCUACCGACUUUUGGGGAGAUUUAUUGUGCAGCAUUACUAAUGCAAUAGUUAGCAGAUACAACUCCCCUGCCUAAAUCCCUUUGGGGGCAUCUCAGCACCUUUCUGUGGAGUGAAGCUACAUUUCUUAGCAGAGCAUGUAAGAUGGACACAGUCUGAUGCUUGCUUACUUUUUCAGCUCCAACUCCUACCAUACUUUGCCUGCCUCAUAUUUCAUACUUUUUCAGUUCUAAACUGCCUUGUAGCUCCCUGUCAGCAUUCAAUAUACCUCCGUACCACACUGAUGCUCUUUUCUCAUGCAUGAAAUGCCUUCCUUGCCUUAUCCUUCUGAAUAACUUCCAACCAGAUCCUUCAAAAGGCAUCAUCUUAUCCAGAGUGCUGGCAUCAGCCCACAUUUCCCUGGCAGAGGCAAAGGUACUAUGGCAGAAAUGGCCAGGGAAGGGUUUAUCUAACCACCAGGAGUACGCAAAGAAGAGAGGUCCAGCCAGCCUGCCUCUCAGAUUGUUAAGAUGCCAGGUGUCUUUUGGCUCAUGGAAACAGCUGUUCUGCCCCCUCCCGAACCCUAGACUCACAGCUACACUCUAUGGGGAAAGGACAAAGGGAAGGCUGCUUCCUGAAGAGAUCUCCAUAUGGAAGAGCUGCAGAUCACAAACAACCCACACAGCCAUUGUAACGCCUGCUUGCCUGGUCACUUGUGUUUCUGAGAAGCCAUAACUCCAAGAAUAGCGAAGGGAAGAAAAUGCCAAAAAGCAGGGGCUGCCUAACAGGUCUGACUUGCAAGGCAAACUCCUGGCAGGCCUGGCCAGCUUCUGCUUGUCCCAGUGCAAUCCCACCCCCAUAGGAUCUGGAAUUUUUCAGUCCCUUUGCUAAGAUUCCUGAAAUAGACUUAAUGAAGAGCCUCAGAAGUGAAAAUUCCUCUUCACACAUUUGCUCAAGAAGAUUGCUUUUCUCCUAACACAGAAAUCAGCUGCCUUGAGGAUGUGCAAGUUUGAUUAGGGAGUCUGCUCUUGCCUAUUUCUCAAACGGUUCAGGCCCUGACAGAAUCAGUGUCACCCCUAAGAAUGAAACCUUCCAAGGGGCCAUGAUCAUAUUGUGACUGGACAAGAACUAUCAUGGAUGAGGCACAUCAUCUUUUGGAACCAUCUAUGGAACAGAUAUUAUUAUUCCAUUUUGCGGAAGAGGAAUCUGAGGCUCAGGCCAGACAGAUGCAGCUAACGUUGAGUGGCAUCCUGAUGAUCACCUUCAUCACAAAAGGAAGGAGUGCUCUGAGGACUGUAGGUGGCUCUCAGAACCCUGACCUCCACGGCAGCCAUCAAGGAGUGGCAAAGGGGGUCCACAGUGGCAUAUGCAGUGAGAUCCAAGUUUUAGGCAUUCGGAGUAGAGCAAGCCACGAAUGAGAACAGGUUCUGAAAGUGACAGAAAAGGAGUCACUUUUUUGGUUCCAUAUGAACUUUAAGGUAGUUUUUUCCCAGUUCUGUGAAGAAAGUCAUUGGUAGCUUGAUGGGGAUGGCAUUGAAUCUAUAAAUUACCUUGGACAGUAUGGCCAUUUUCAUGAUAUUGAUUCUUCCUACCCAUGAGCAUGGAAUGUUCUUCCAUUUGUUUGUAUCCUCUUUUAUUUCCUUGAGCAGUGGUUUGUAGUUAUCCUUGAAGAGGUUCUUCACAUCCCUUGUAAGUUGGAUUCCUAGGUAUUUUAUUCUCUUUGAAGCAAUUGUGAAUGGGAGUUCACUCAUGAUUUGGCUCUCUGUUUGUCUGUUGUUAGUGUAUAAGAAUGCUUGUGAUUUUUGUACAUUGAUUUUGUAUCCUGAGACUUUGCUGAAGUUGCUUAUCAGCUUAAGGAGAUUUUGGGCUGAGACAAUGGGGUUUUCUAGAUAUACAAUCAUGUCAUCUGCAAACAGGGACAAUUUGACUUCCUCUUUUCCUAAUUGAAUACCCUUUAUUUCCUUGUCCUGCCUAAUUGCCCUGGCCAGAACUUCCAACACUAUGUUGAAUAGGAGUGGUGAAAGAGGACAUCCCUGUCUUGUGCCAGUUUUCACAGGGAAUGCUUCCAGUUUUUGCCCAUUCAGUAUGAUAUUGGCUGUGGGUUUGUCAUAGAUAGCUCUUAUUAUUUUGACAUACGUCCCAUCAAUACCUAAUUUAUUGAGAGUUUUUAGCAUGAAGCGUUGUUGAAUUUUGUCAAAGGCCUUUUCUGCAUCUAUUGAGAUAAUCAUGUGGUUUUUGUCUUUGGUUCUGUUUAUAUGCUGGAUUACAUUUAUUGAUUUGUGUAUAUUGAACCAGCCUUGCAUCCCAGGGAUGAAGCCCACUUGAUCAUGGUGGAUAAGCUUUUUGAUGUGCUGCUGGAUUCGGUUUGCCAGUAUUUUAUUGAGGAUUUUUGCAUCAAUGUUCAUCAGGGAUAUUGGUCGAAAAUUCUCUUUUUUGGUUGUAUCUCUGCCCGGCUUUGGUAUCAGGAUGAUGCUGGCCUCAUAAAAUGAGUUAGGGAGUAUUCCCUCUUUUUCUAUUGAUUGGAAUAUCACCAAGUCCAUCCUAAGCCAAAAGAACAAAGCUGGAGGCAUCACACUACCUGACUUCAAACUAUACUACAAGGCUACAGUAACCAAAACAGCAUGGUACUGGUACCAAAACAGAGAUAUAGAUCAAUGGAACAGAACAGAGCCCUCAGAAAUAACACCGCAUAUCUACAAUUAUCUGAUCUUUGACAAACCUGACAAAAACAAGCAAUGGGGAAAGGAUUCCCUAUUUAAUAAAUGGUGCUGGGAAAACUGGCUAGCCAUAUGUAGAA
rnacentral:lncRNA from 1 species